rnacentral:lncRNA from 1 species
GCCCACGUUAUCCAGGAUAGAUGUUUGUUUAAUCUCUUCUUCAAUCUCUCUAGAGAAGGAGGUGCGACACAUGCUCCAGGGCUUAGCUAUUCCUCCUGCUUGAACGUUUAUUUCCCGAGGCCUGACCUAAAGACCUUUUCCUGCAAUUUACAGCAUAAUUUUGUGUCCCAUUUGCAAUGGAAAUGGAAAGCAAUUUAUUCCAUUGUUACUUACAGCAGUCUGGAAGAUAGCUGAGGAUGGCUCUCAUACCUGCCUUCACUGCCCUUUGAGCAGAGCAGCCACUGGCACUUGCAGUCUGCCCUUGUAGGUCAUGUUUUCCAGCCUUUCAGUCGUACUGCCACUCUCCUCUGCAUUGCUAGAACAGACUCAUAUUUUCCUUGAAAAGGGGUGCCCCAAAAUGCCCAACUGAGUAAGUACAUAUAAAUCCUGACCAACGUGAAGAAGCAGAGGGGUGACUUCAGACCACAGAUACGACAUCUGCAUACUUGUAUCCAGACAUACAUUGCCUGUAUCAUUCCUGCCUUACAUAUAGUUUGUAACCAGCUACAGCCUCCAGAACUUUUUAUUAUGUAUUUGUGCUGUUGAUUAUUCCUGCCAGGUUGUCUUCUAUUUCUAAGACUACUUUUAAGACAGUUAAGUUGCUUUUUAAAUUCUUUUUCUAGGUUAUUUCUUCAUGUGAGAGAAGAUGAUCAGUCUGAGUUCUCAGCUUUGUUUUUCAAAGCCUACUGCCCCUAUUGCUUAUCAUCUACAAACCGAUGACUACAAUUUCCAGUCCCUCAAUAAACUGUCCCUCAAUAAGACCUGCUAAUAAAAAUACUGAGCAGUAGAAGGCUGACCACAGUCUUUACCUGAAUAUUGUUGCAAACUCACUUUUUAUUUAUUAUGCUAAGGUGUCCUGGCCUGGGCUAGGAUAGAGUAGAUUUUUUCCUAGUAGAUGGUAUGGUGCUGAUUUGGAUUUAGGAUGAGAGUAAUGUUGAUAGCACAUCGAUGUUUUUUCCUGUUGCAGAGCAGUUCUUGCACAGAGCCAAGGACUUUUAAGCUCCUCAUACGGCCCCGCCAGGAAGGAGGCUGGGGGUUCACCAGGAACUGGGAGGGGACACAGCCAGGACAGCUGGCCCAGACCACAACACAAGACACUUACUGGCUGUACAACCUUCAUCACAGCACAGACCUGCAAGGCCGGACAGCAGGAUAUUUAUACUGUACUCUCUGUUCCUGCCGUGAUAGAGCACAGAGCUGGAGAAGGGCAAACCUACACAAGGAAUGCAGGUAAAUGUUAGGUGAUACAUGCAUAAUUUCCAGAAGACAAAUAAAAGGAAUACAAAGUUUAUUCUCCUUCCCUUA